rnacentral:lncRNA from 1 species
AUUGAAUCCUAAGAUUGAAUCAUUGAAUCCUCAGCUGAAUAAUUGAAUCCUAAGAUUGAGUCAUUGAAUCCUAAGAUUGAAUAAUUGAAUCCUAAGAUUGAGUCAUUGAAUCCUAAGAUUGAAUCAUUGAAUCCUAAGAUUGAAUCAUUGAAUCCUCAGCUGAAUAAUUGAAUCCUAAGAUUGAGUCAUUGAAUCCUAAGAUUGAAUAAUUGAAUCCUAAGAUUGAGUCAUUGAAUCCUAAGAUUGAAUCAUUGAAUCCUAAGAUUGAAUCAUUGAAUCCUCAGCUGAAUAAUUGAAUCCUAAGAUUGAGUCAUUGAAUCCUAAGAUUGAAUAAUUGAAUCCUAAGAUUGAGUCAUUGAAUCCUAAGAUUGAAUCAUUGAAUCCUAAGAUUGAAUCAUUGAAUCCUCAGCUGAAUAAUUGAAUCCUAAGAUUGAGUCAUUGAAUCCUAAGAUUGAAUAAUUGAAUCCUAAGAUUGAGUCAUUGAAUCCUAAGAUUGAAUCAUUGAAUCCUAAGAUUGAAUCAUUGAAUCCUCAGCUGAAUAAUUGAAUCCUAAGAUUGAGUCAUUGAAUCCUAAGAUUGAAUAAUUGAAUCCUAAGAUUGAGUCAUUGAAUCCUAAGAUUGAAUCAUUGAAUCCUAAGAUUGAAUCAUUGAAUCCUCAGCUGAAUAAUUGAAUCCUAAGAUUGAGUCAUUGAAUCCUAAGAUUGAAUAAUUGAAUCCUAAGAUUGAGUCAUUGAAUCCUAAGAUUGAAUCAUUGAAUCCUAAGAUUGAAUCAUUGAAUCCUCAGCUGAAUAAUUGAAUCCUAAGAUUGAGUCAUUGAAUCCUAAGAUUGAAUAAUUGAAUCCUAAGAUUGAAUCAUUGAAUCCUCAGCUGAAUCAUUGAAUCCUAAGAUUGAGUCAUUGAAUCCUAAGAUUGAGUCAUUGAGUCCUAAGAUUGAGUCAUUGAACCUAAGAUUGAAUCAUUGAAUCCUCAGCUGAAUCAUUGAAUCCUAAGAUUGAAUAAUUGGAUCCUAAGAUUGAGUCUUUGAAUCCUGAGAUUGAGUCAUUGAAUCCUAAGAUUGAAUCAUUGAAUCCUAAGAUUGAAUCCUCAGCUGAAUCAUUGAAUCCUAAGAUUGAGUUUCCUGAAUUCAGAUUGAAUCCUAAUGGAUAUUUGAAGUUGGGUAAAAAUUUUUUUAAAUCCUUAGAUCAGCAAAAUUUUUACCAAGAAAAACAUUUCUCUUCGGUACCACCCCCUGUCAUAAAUAAUGACCCCUCCCUUGUAAUAUCAAGUCAACUUCGUCAUCGAAUUGAAAACCCACGUAUACACUUGAAAAAAAGAACAAAACACUUGGCUAUCUGGUCUAGUCUCUGUCAGUUUAUCACGAAACCUCUAAAUAGUUUCAUCACUUAUAUUUACUCUGUCUUGCCAUUUUUCCUCGCGCCCUGUUUCAAUUGACUGGUUUCCACGAAAAAUUGAAUCGCUUGGGUGCAGUUAUUUUCAAAAAGAUAAUUGGCAAUUAAGUUGUCAGAUAAAAAUAAAGUAUCGCUUGAUUUGCCCAGCGUGGGAGAAAUUUUAUUUUGCGGAAAAGCUCUCGACAUAUCUUCAGUUAAAUUUUUUCAGGUAGUUCAGGGACAAACCGUUAUUCCCUCAUAUUUAGAGGAGAAUUUUUUGUAUGUUACGUAACACGCGCUCAAAACUCAUGAAUGUACUUUUCUACUUGGCUAUGACUACACACGGAAAAACGCAC